rnacentral:rRNA from 1 species
CAAUAGCGUAUAUUAAAGUUGUUGCAGUUAAAAAGCUCGUAGUUGGAUUUCUGGUAGGAGCGACCGUUCCGAACUUGAUUGUUCGUGUAUUGAGUUGUCUCCAGCCAUCCUUGUGGAGAACUUUUCUUGCAUUAAUUUGUAGGGAUUGGGACCCGCAUCGUUUACUGUGAAGAAAUUAGAGUGUUUAAAGCAGGCAAUCGCUUGAAUACAUUAGCAUGGAAUAAUAAGAUAGGACUUUGGUACUAUUUUGUUGGUUUGCAUACCAAAUUAAUGAUCAACAGGAACAGUUUGAGGAUAUUCGUAUGAACAUGUCAGAGGUGAAAUUCUUGGAUUUUGAUCAGACGAACUACUGCGAAANCANNNAUCAAGGAUGUUUUCAUNAA